rnacentral:rRNA from 1 species
GGUGAAGUGUUCGGAUCGCGGCGACGGGGGCGGUUCGCCGCCGCGACGUCGCGAGNANUCNACUGAACCUUAUCAUUUAGAGGAAGGAGAAGUCGUANCAAGGUUUCCGUAGGUGAACCUGCGGAAGGAUCAUUGUCGAUGACCCACUAGGCUAACCGGCGAACUUGUCACAUCAUUCUUGGGGGUGAUGGGAAUGUCCUUCGGGGCCCUAGAUACCCUCCUCCCCCUCCCUUGGUUCUUGCUUCUUUUAUCGAUGGUCCCUUGAGGAGUAGAGAAACAUGGGGGGGUUGGAACAACCAACAUCGGCGCGGCAUGCGUCAAGUAAUCACGAACGGAAUAAGGCACCUCCUCUGCAGAGGUGGUGCUGUAGACCCGAAUAAAAUCAGAGAUGACUCUCGGCAACGGAUAUCUAGGCUCUUGCCACGAUGAAGAACGUAGCGAAAUGCGAUACUUGGUGUGAAUUGCAGAAUCCCGUGAACCAUCAAGUUUUUGAACGCAAGUUGCGCCCGAGGCCACCAGGCCAAGGGCACGCCUGCCUGGGCGUCACGCUUUGCGUCGCUCCCCCCCACCUCCUUGCCCAUACGGGCUCUGUGGUGUUAAGGGGAAGCGGAGAUUGGCUGCCCGUGCCAUGGUUGCGUGGCCAGCCGAAAAGUGGGCCUCUGGCGUGUUGCGACACGACGAGUGGUGGUCAAAUACCCUUCUCAUCGCAUGGGACGUCGAGUCGCUUUGCUAGUGGCACAUGAACUCUUGGAGCCGUUUCGCGGCAACCUGCAUCGCGACCCCAGGUCAGGCGGGGUCNCCCGCUGAGUUUAAGCAUAUCANUANGCGGAGGANAANAAACUUACAAGGAUUCCCUUANUAACGGCNAGCGAACCGGGAACAGCCCAGCAUGANAAUCGNAUGGCACUCGCCGUUCGAAUUGU